rnacentral:tRNA from 1 species
GUUUUAAUAAUUUAAAUAAUAAAAUACUGGUCUUGUAAAUCAGCAAUAAGAAUCAUCUUUUAAAACU